rnacentral:rRNA from 1 species
UUUCCUCGCAAGGGGAAACUGAGUGGCGAACGGGUGAGUAACGCGUGGGUGACCUACCUUCGAGUGGGGGAUAACGUCCCGAAAGGGACGCUAAUACCGCAUGACAUCCUGUCCUUGAACGGAUGGAGAUCAAAGCUGGGGAUCGCAAGACCCGGCGCUUGAUGAGGGGCCCGCGUCCGAUUAGCUAGUUGGUGAGGUAACGGCUCACCAAGGCGACGAUCGGUAUCCGGCCUGAGAGGGCGGACGGACACACUGGGACUGAGACACGGCCCAGACUCCUACGGGAGGCAGCAGUGGGGAAUUGUUCGCAAUGGGCGCAAGCCUGACGACGCAAUGCCGCGUGGAGGAUGAAGGUCUUCGGAUUGUAAACUCCUGUUGCCAGGGACGAAUGGCUCCGACCUAAUACGUCGGAGAAUGACGGUACCUGGUGAGGAAGCCCCGGCUAACUCUGUGCCAGCAGCCGCGGUAAUACAGAGGGGGCGAGCGUUGUUCGGAAUUACUGGGCGUAAAGGGCGCGUAGGCGGCCUCUUAAGUCGAACGUGAAAUCCCCGGGCUCAACCCGGGAACUGCGUCCGAUACUGGGAGGCUUGAAUCCGGGAGAGGGAUGUGGAAUUCCAGGUGUAGCGGUGAAAUGCGUAGAUAUCUGGAGGAACACCGGUGGCGAAGGCGGCAUCCUGGACCGGUAUUGACGCUGAGGCGCGAAAGCCAGGGGAGCAAACGGGAUUAGAUACCCCGGUAGUCCUGGCCCUAAACGAUGAAUGCUUGGUGUGGCGGGUAUCGAUCCCUGCCGUGCCGAAGCUAACGCAUUAAGCA